ACCGGCGCACGGGUGAGUAACACGUAUGCAACCUACCUGUAAGAGGGGAAUAACCCGGAGAAAUCCGGACUAAUACCGCAUAAUACUUCGAAUCCGCAUGGAUUUGAAUUUAAACAUUUAUGGCUUACAGAUGGGCAUGCGUAUGAUUAGCUAGUUGGUGAGGUAACGGCUCACCAAGGCAACGAUCAUUAGGGGUUCUGAGAGGAAGGUCCCCCACACUGGUACUGAGACACGGACCAGACUCCUACGGGAGGCAGCAGUGAGGAAUAUUGGUCAAUGGGCGAGAGCCUGAACCAGCCAAGUCGCGUGAAGGAAGAAGGUUCUAUGGAUUGUAAACUUCUUUUGUAAGGGAAUAAAAAGUAGUACGUGUACUAUAUUGUAUGUACUUUACGAAUAAGGAUCGGCUAACUCCGUGCCAGCAGCCGCGGUAAUACGGAGGAUCCAAGCGUUAUCCGGAUUUAUUGGGUUUAAAGGGUGCGUAGGCGGACUUAUAAGUCAGCGGUGAAAGUUUGCAGCUUAACUGUAAAAUUGCCGUUGAAACUGUUAGUCUUGAGUGUAAAUGAGGUAGGCGGAAUGUGUUGUGUAGCGGUGAAAUGCUUAGAUAU
rnacentral:rRNA from 1 species